AUACGUAGGGUGCAAGCGUUAAUCGGAAUUACUGGGCGUAAAGCGUGCGCAGGCGGUUUUGUAAGACAGUGGUGAAAUCCCCGGGCUCAACCUGGGAACUGCCAUUAUGACUGCAAGGCUGGAGUGCGGCAGAGGGGGAUGGAAUUCCGCGUGUAGCAGUGAAAUGCGUAGAUAUGCGGAGGAACACCGAUGGCGAAGGCAAUCCCCUGGGCCUGCACUGACGCUCAUGCACGAAAGCGUGGGGAGCAAACAGGAUUAGAUACCCUGGUAGUCCACGCCCUAAACGAUGUCAACUGGUUGUUGGGGAUUUAUUUUCUCAGUAACGAAGCUAACGCGUGAAGUUGACCGCCUGGGGAGUACGGCCGCAAGGUUAAAACUCAAAUGAAUUGACGGGG
rnacentral:rRNA from 1 species